GAACGCUGGCGGCGUGCUUAACACAUGCAAGUCGAACGAUUAAGACGGCUUCGGCCGUGUAUAGAGUGGCGAACGGGUGAGUAACACGUGACCAACCUGCCCCGCGCUCCGGGACAACCGCUGGAAACGGCGGCUAAUACCGGAUGCUCCGGGGAGGCCCCAUGGCCUCCCCGGGAAAGCCUUAACGGCGCGGGAUGGGGUCGCGGCCCAUUAGGUAGACGGCGGGGUAACGGCCCACCGUGCCCGCGAUGGGUAGCCGGACUGAGAGGUCGACCGGCCACAUUGGGACUGAGAUACGGCCCAGACUCCUACGGGAGGCAGCAGUGGGGAAUUUUGCGCAAUGGGGGAAACCCUGACGCAGCAACGCCGCGUGCGGGACGAAGGCCUUCGGGUUGUAAACCGCUUUCAGUGGGAAAGAUUAUAGACGGUACCCACAGAAGAAGCUCCGGCUAACUACGUGCCAGCAGCCGCGGUAAUACGUAGGGGGCGAGCGUUAUCCGGAUUCAUUGGGCGUAAAGCGCGCGUAGGCGGCCGCCUAAGCGGAACCUCUAAUCCCGGGGCUCAACCUCGGGCCGGGUUCCGGACUGGGCGGCUCGAGUGCGGUAGAGGCAGGCGGAAUUCCCGGUGUAGCGGUGGAAUGCGCAGAUAUCGGGAAGAACACCGAUGGCGAAGGCAGCCUGCUGGGCCGCCACUGACGCUGAGGCGCGAAAGCUGGGGGAGCGAACAGGAUUAGAUACCCUGGUAGUCCCAGCCGUAAACGAUGGGCGCUAGGUGUGGGGGGACAGUCCCCCCGUGCCGCAGCCAACGCAUUAAGC
rnacentral:rRNA from 1 species